rnacentral:rRNA from 1 species
AUUGAACGCUGGCGGCAGGCCUAACACAUGCAAGUCGAGCGGAUGAAGGGAGCUUGCUCCUGGAUUCAGCGGCGGACGGGUGAGUAAUGCCUAGGAAUCUGCCUGGUAGUGGGGGAUAACGUCCGGAAACGGGCGCUAAUACCGCAUACGUCCUGAGGGAGAAAGUGGGGGAUCUUCGGACCUCACGCUCUCAGAUGAGCCUAGGUCGGAUUAGCUAGUUGGUGGGGUAAAGGCCUACCAAGGCGACGAUCCGUAACUGGUCUGAGAGGAUGAUCAGUCACACUGGAACUGAGACACGGUCCAGACUCCUAAGGGAGGCAGCAGUGGGGAAUAUUGGACAAUGGGCGAAAGCCUGAUCCAGCCAGGCCGCGUGUGUGAAGAAGGUCUUCGGAUUGUAAAGCACUUUAAGUUGGGAGGAAGGGCAGUAAGUUAAUACCUUGCUGUUUUGACGGUACCAACAGAAUAAGCACCGGCUAACUUCGUG